CUCUUUAGCUUGGCAUUUGAAUCGGCUUUGCUGUUGCGAAGUAGAGUGGCGGCUUCGGCUGCCGAGGGUCGAUCCAUUUGGGAAAUGUUGUGUACUUCGGUAUGCAUCUCAAUUGGACCUGAUAUCAGGCAAGAUUACCCGCUGAACUUAAGCAUAUUAAUAAGCGGAGGAAAAGAAACUAACAAGGAUUCCCCUAGUAACGGCGAGUGAAGCGGGAAGAGCUCAAGCUUAAAAUCUCCGUGCAAGUUUUGCGCGGCGAAUUGUAGUCUAUAGAGGCGUGAUCAGUGUGGGCGCUUGGGGCAAGUUCCUUGGAAGAGGACAGCAUGGAGGGUGAUACUCCCGUUCAUCCCUGAGUUGCUCGUGCGUACGAUCCGUUUUCUUUGAGUCGCGUUGUUUGGGAAUGCAGCGCAAAGUAGGUGGUAAAUUCCAUCUAAAGCUAAAUAUUGGUGCGAGACCGAUAGCGAACAAGUACCGUGAGGGAAAGAUGAAAAGAACUUUGAAAAGAGAGUUAAAGAGUACCUGAAACUGCUGAAAGGGAACCGAAUCGUUUCCAGUGUCUAUAAUCCGUGGUAUAUUUCAUUGGCGAGUGUGUGCGUGCGUGUGCUGUGGCAGCGGCUUUUUUGGCUGCGCUCGGCGUGUGUGCUGUGUGUGCUUGCUGGUGCCCUGUGCUGCGGUGGGACGUCAAGGUCAGUUCGUAUGCUGCGGGAAAUGGCCGCCGAGGAGGUAGGGCUUACGCUUGCGUUUGUCUGUUAUAUCUUGGUGGACGAGUAGUCGCGGUUGGGACUGAGGUGCCUACAACGUGUUUUUGAGUGGGCCUGUGUCUCUGUGUGCGCCGUGUGCGGAUAGCUUGCUAUGCGUGUGUGGUUGUGUGUGGAUUGAUGUGGGUUUUAACUUGUUGCCGUUCGGGACGUUGACGAAAUGGAGCGAUUUGACCCGUCUUGAAACACGGAUCAAGGAGUCUAACAUGUGUGCAAGUGUUAGGGUGUGGAAACCCCAGCGCGAAAUGAAAGUG